AAAGGGAGACCUAAUUCAGGUAGGAGACGAAAAAAAAGUAGUCGCUACCAAGAAUCAAUCCCAAAAGGUCGGAGCGAGGCGAAAUUGGCUUUCAAACUAGGUUCUGGGUUCAAACAAGACCUGAAUCAGGAACAAGGGCUAUUAGCUCAGGUGGUUAGAGCGCACCCCUGAUAAGGGUGAGGUCCCUGGUUCGAGUCCAGGAUGGCCCACCUGCACAGGUGGCAAAAACAAGAGAAGCGAGGAAUCAGCACCUUAUCUUACUUAUAUAGUAAGAGAGAAUGCUGGCUCUGAGUAAAGAGUCCAGUGGAACCUUGAAAACUGCAUAGAGCUAGGUGAAAAAGCCAAAAAAGAAGACCGCAAG
rnacentral:tRNA from 1 species